UUUGUGACAUUCAAGUGGAGAAAGGAAAUGUCCUAUUAAAACUGAAGCAAACUGGAUGUUUGUCUUGUAUCUUCAGAAGAAA
ensembl:snoRNA